UUGUUGGUGGACUUGAUUUAUGUGAUGGACGAUAUGAUACUCCACAUCAUCCUUUAUUUAGGACACUGCAAACUGUGCAUAAGGAUGACUAUCACAACCCUACUUUCACGGGUAAUAACGUUUCNNAAGAGAACCAUGGCAUGAUUUGCACUGUAGAAUUGAUGGUCCAGCAGCAUAUGACGUUCUAGCCAACUUUGAGGAGCGCUGGUUCAAGGCU
rnacentral:misc_RNA from 1 species